rnacentral:rRNA from 1 species
AACGAACGCUGGCGGCAGGCUUAACACAUGCAAGUCGAACGCAUCCUUCGGGGUGAGUGGCAGACGGGUGAGUAACGCGGGGGAACGUGCCCUUCAGUUCGGAAUAACCCAGGGAAACUUGGGCUAAUACCGGAUACGUGCGAGAGCAGAAAGAUUUAUCGCGGAAGGAUCGGCCCGCGUCUGAUUAGCUAGUUGGUGAGGUAAUGGCCCACCAAGGCGAGGAUCAGUAGAGGGUCUGAGAGGAUGAUCAGCCACAUUGGGACGGAGGCACGGCCCAAAAUCCUACGGGAGGCAGCAGUGGGGAAUAUUGGACAAUGGGCGCAAGCCUGAUCCAGCCAUGCCGCGUGAGUGAUGACGGCCUUAGGGUUGUAAAGCUCUUUCGUCCGGGACGAUAAUGACGGUACCGGAAGAAGAAGCCCCGGCUAACUUCGUGCCAGCAGCCGCAGUAACAC